rnacentral:lncRNA from 1 species
AAUUACUGACAAGAAAAGUAUGGCAAUCAUGGAAGCAAAAAAUGAUAAGAAACUUGCCUAUUCUAGCUGCCUUCCAAAAGAACCCUCGGAACCUGCCAAAAGGAGACAUCCAUUGAGAAAACAGAGAUACACAGCAGCUCAUAAUAAUACAUGAAUUCGACCACUCUAUCGAAAGAGCAACCAAUUUUAUUCUUCUGUUGGGUGUAUAGUUUUAGUCAGAAGUUAAUGCUCGAGAUUUACAAUUAUUCGGCCGACCAAAAUCAGAAAUCAAAUUUUACUUAUGAGCUAAUCAACAAUAUAGAGGACUCUGAUCAAAGAUCAAUUAAAUCUAAAGAUCUUCCGAUAAGCAUGUGCACAACUGAAAAUAUGAACUCAGAAACGAAUGAAAAUGAGAAUACAGAGCUUAUUGAUCGAACGGAAAUAAAUAAAUAAAUAAAUCAAGACAAAAGCACACAGAGAAAGUAAACUAACGAUUACGGACCCGGUUUUUCAGCUCGAGGAUGGUAGGAAACUGCAGCUUCACAUAAAAAAAAAAAAAAUGGAAAUUAAAUAGCGCCGACUGCUUAAAAAUAAAAAAGCAGCUAGUUAUUAUCAAUUACAACUUCUAAAAUAAACAACAGAACUAAUAACAAAUAAAUGAUGAACUGAGCUCGUCAGAUGGAUUUUCCAUUACCACAUAUAUAUAUAUAUAAUAUAUAGCCUGGUUAUUAUUGAUUUGAACUGAUGAACUGGUUGCUACUUUUCCAGUGCAGUUUUGAUUUUGU